rnacentral:lncRNA from 1 species
AACUACCAUUAACACAAGGGAAAACUUCAAAUAUCACCCAUGUGGUUUCACACAUUCUCACUUUAGUAUUCUGUUGUUCAAAGCGUAUCAAUUUAGUAUUCUCUGGUUUCAUUUUUAUUUCUUUUAUUAUCGAUUUCACUAAUUUUUUUCGUUAAAUUAGUGACAAAGUUAAAACUAAAAGGUAUUAAAGUGAAUAUUCGAUAAAUUUAUGUAGAGUAUCUGAAACUUUUUGUAUACAAUUUAACAAAAUAUUAACGGAGAAGCUCACGAAAAGAUAAAAAUGAAAUCACAGGACAUGAACUUGAUAUACUUUAAACUACAUGGUACUAAAGUGAGAACGUGCGAAACCACAGAGGUGGUAUCUGAAGUUUACCCUUAACAUAAACUACUUAAAAAAAAAAAGACCAUUAACGUAUAAAAAGAGGUCAUCCACCAUUAUAAUAAACUACUUAAAAAAGAAAGACCAUUAACAUAUAAAAAGAAGUCAACUACCAUUAACAUAAACUACUUAAAAAAAAAAAGAAAAGAGCAUUAACAUAUAAAAAGAAGUCAAAUUCGCAUUAAGCUACCAUAAAGAUAGAACUCCACCAAAAAGAAGCCGCAUUUUUCGCACUAAACUACCACAAAAUAGACGACUUGCAAAAUGGGGUCAAAUGAGCACUAAAUUCACACAUCACUAUCACCAUCAUAGAUAUUCCCUUGUCCGAGAUUUUUUUGAAGUAACGAUCAAAAUUUGAGAACAAAUUUCUACGAUUGGAUUUGUCUAUUGUACAUUCGCUCCAAAAUGACACCAUCAUGUUGCAUUUUAAAGAUUGUGUGGGUAGGACGCGAGUUUUAUAUUAUCUCUGAUAUCAUAUUACAUAAAAUUUUUUGAUAUUCUAUUAUUUUAAAAGAAUUAUGGGACUCAACAUAUUUGGAAUAGCAAAUGCUUUUCCUAAAGCCAAACAGAAAAAGAGCGCGCUCUAAAAGUAAAAAAAGUAUUUUACUAUUAAUAGCAUUACAGUCUAAUUCUAUAUAUAUAUAUAUAUAUAUAUGGCUGGGGAUAUUAUACUCUUAUGAGUAUAGACCCUCUUGUACUCAUAAAUUUUUAACCAUUGAUUGAUAGGAUGUGUGGUUAGGAUGAUGGUUAUCCUCAGGUUACUAAAAUGAUAAAGUGCAAAACCAAAGGGUACUAAAGUGAUAAAGUGCGAAACCACUCACAAGGUAUUAACUUGAUACACUUUAAAUCACAGGGUACUAAAGUGAAAAAGUGCAAAACCACAGGAUACUAACUUGAUACACUUUAAACCACNAGUACUGUGCACUUUUCGCUAAUAGGCGUUUCGAAGAGAUUCUCCCCUUGCAGUUGACAUGUCGAGAGCAAUCUUAGAACUUUCCGAAAGCGGAGAACUCCACAGAAUUCACAAGAAGUGGUUUUGCAAGACAAACUCAUGUGCUGCGCAGGGAAGCGGGAAUUCUGAGCCAGACCAGCUGCACUUGAGCUGCUUCUGGGGGCUAUUUCUGGUUUGUGGGGCAGCUACUAUUAUUUCUCUCCUCUUAUUUCUUCUACGGUCGAUUCGGCAAUUCAUUCGCUAUCGGAUAAAACAUAGAGAUCCUGCAUCAGAUACUGAGCUAUCAAAGAGGGGCUGUUCUCAAGCCAUUUAUAGCUUCUUCAAUUUCAUUGAUGAGAGAGAAGAAGCCAUAAAAGCCAUUUUCAGGCAGCAGCAGCAGCAAAGCACUUCUCAGCCUCAGAAAAGCUGAUUGUGCUGUUACUAGUUCCACCUUUCUCUGUUUGUAGAACAUAAGAGGAAGUUAAUAUGUAGCUUGUAAUUUACUUCUUGUAACGUAAAUCAUAUAUAUUUUCCGUGAUGGUUAAAGCCAUUUCGCGACUUAUUUAGCAGUGUUAGGGUUGGUAACUGGUGCCAAAUAUGUCAAAAAAAAAUUUCUGUUGCUAGAACUCAUGUGAUUGUGCCAAAAGCUCUAGAAUUUUUCUGUUCAAAAUUUUAGCUUUCCUUCGCUUUAUGAGUUGGGAUUAUCUUUGAUUUGAUCAUUACUUGUCCAUAAGAUAAGACAUGAAUAAGUUGGCAUGGUUUAGGACGCUGUUUGGUUGCAUGUAAAUGAGGCCAAAAAUAAGUUUUUUGCACUAAAAUUGAGAUCUAUACGUCUUUGUCUCCUGCAAAACAGUUUUAUGUAUUUUACAGAGAAACUCUUUUUAUGUAUGUCCUGAAUUCAUAUUAUACUAAAAUAAAUACCAAUAAAUGACAUUUUUUUGGAAAAAAAAAAUCUCUCUUUUUCAAAUCGUUUUUAAGAGAUUUUACGCAGAAUCAGUAACAAAAAAUUGCCACAAGUCUACUUGACUUUGCUUUCAAAAAGAAGUCAACUGCCCACCAGCAAACUACUACCAUUAACACAAGAGAAAACUUCAAAUAUCACUUUUGUGGUUUCACACGUUCUCACUUUAGUAUUCUGUGGUUCAAAGUGUAUCAAUUUAGUAUUCUCUGGUUUCAUUUUUAUUUCUUUUAUUAUCGAUUCCACUAAUUUUUUUCGUUAAAUUAGUGACAAAGUUAAAACUAAAAGGUAUUAAAGUGAAUAUUCGAUAAAUUUAUGUAGAGUAUCUGAAACUUUUUGUAUACAAUUUAACGUCCUUAACAAAAUAUUAACGGAGAAGCUCACGAAAGAUAAAAAUGAAAUCACAGGACACGAACUUGGUACACUUUAAACUACAUGGUACUAAAUUGAGAACGUGUGAAACCACAGAGGUGGCAUCUGAAGUUUACCCUUAACAUAAACUACUUAAAAAAAAAAGACCAU